rnacentral:rRNA from 1 species
UACGGGGGGGGCAAGCGUUGUUCGGAAUUACUGGGCGUAAAGGGCGCGUAGGCGGGUGGACAAGUCUCUCGUGAAAGCCCACGGCUCAACCGUGGAAUUGCGGGAGAUACUGUCUGUCUUGAGUCCGGGAGAGGAGGGUGGAAUUCCCAGUGUAGCGGUGAAAUGCGUAGAUAUUGGGAGGAACACCGGUGGCGAAGGUGGCUCUCGGGACCGGUAUUGACGAUGAGGCGCGAAAGCUAGGGGAGCAAACGGG